UUUUCAUGCCGUACACAAUGGGCUUGGAGAGAAAGGAAAGAGGCGAUGGUGAUACAUCGAGACAUGCAUCCCUCAUCAAUGUUAGUAAAUAAAUUAAUAUAGUAAGUAGAACAAACGCACGAAUCCUCCUAUCAACACUGCGCGUCUGGAGAAACGAUACCUGAGAGAGAUCUUGAUAUCCACGCAUCUAAAGAGGAGCAAUCACAAUUGGGAGGUAUAAAAAUUUUAGUUUAAAUUUUUGCUUGAGCUUGCUGCAGAAAUUUUUAAUUUCAAAUGUAAAUAGUUCUAAAAGCUACAGAAAAAAAAAUAACAUUAGCCCUAGCAAUGCAACUAAUGAAACUGUUCAUAAAGUUGUCAUUUAGCAUCAAACCUACACAUGUAUGUAUGAAAUAAACUGCCUAAAUGCAAUAUUCCACAAAUUUACAUGAAUAGGAAAGUGAGGUUCACUGUACUGGAAGGUAUAAAUGCUGUACGUCUUGCACUCACUUAAGGCAUGUUCGGUUAUAAGGAAAAAUGAAGAAAAGGUGAAAAAAAAACUUGUUUUCUUGUUCAAAAUCUUGCUUUCUGCUUGCUUGUUCCAUUAAAAAAAAAGAAACAGAGAGGGAACUUUAGAAGUUUAUAACUAAUUUUUCAGAAAAUUUUUCUUUUCUAUGAAAUUUUUUUUUCAUAGUUAUUUUUUUCACCAAACUGCCCUUUAUGUUGUGCAUUUUAAAUUCUCAUAAUUGACUUAGGACCUAAUGUAUGUCUUUACUCCAUCAAAGAAUGAAAGCUACGUCGAACAAAUUCACAAAGCGUGAAAGAAGCACCAAGGAUCACGCGGAAAUCAAAACGUAACCGGGCAAGAGAAAAGCCAUCAUUUCCGGCCAUCAGUUUAUGCUCCAAUGGUCAAAGGAGCGUGCAUGGCUUGGUCGAACGACGUGGAUACUUUGUGGCCAAAAAAACUCAUGGCCUCUUUGUGUCUGUGUGGUCUGGAGACUCUGGGACCAUCUAGGUUUGGGACACAGAAUCCAGGCUUUGAUGUGAAGCAACCAAACUUUAAUUACAAGAGAGUGCGAGCUGAUUGUGAUUUAUUGGAUACCCAAUUUUUGAUGCACAAUAAAUUGCUAAACCAAUCCUGUCGAGGUAAAGAACACAACAACUUUUCUCUGGCUCGUAUGCAUUUCCAAAGUUUCAAUCCAGCCUCAAGGGGAGAAGGUUGCCAGCGGGAAGAAUAAAACUUUCAUAUAGUUCUCCUAUAUUGUUAAGAUAUUACAGUUAAAUGUGUUAAAGAUACGUAUCAUCCUUAAAAUGUUUAUCUCUUAUGCAUUAAUUUUCAUAACAUUCCAAUAUAAAAACCAAUGGUAGAAAUCAUCUGGAAUUUUUUUUACUUUUCUAAUAAACCCAAUUAAAAACAAAAUAUUUAUGAUGUUCAUGCUCCUAAUCUACCAAACCUAAUGGUGACAUGCUUUUUAGGCUCUUAGAUUAUGUAUUGUUGCUGGUUAAAGGGUGGAUAACUUAAAAGUUAUCUAGUUAACCAGCCAAACAUCACUAGGUCAUCCAAAAGUGAAAUAAAUUUAUUUCAUUAAAGAUCCAGAUAAGAUUAUUUCGUAAGAGGGUGAAAUAAAAGCAACCAUAUAAGCUCUUUUUUUUCCUCUCUUUUAUUUUUUUUCACAACUUUAUUCCAUUAACCAUGGGCCCACUAAACAAGCAGGAACUAAUUUUUGCUACCAACUUUAAUCUAUCAUGAAAUGGACUUUUCUUUUUCUUUUUGCUUUUAUCUAUAUGCUAGCUUUUUCAUGGUCCUUGCUUAGAAUUCUCUUAUGCAUAUGUCCCCACGUAAGAAUGUGCUUUUUGGAUUGCUUCUUCUUUUGUAGAAGGAUUGAUCCUGCAACUGGACUGCCUCUUCCAUGGCUGACACAAGAUUAAUUAGUCCAUGUCGUUACAAGGUGGUGGGGGGCAAGUGAGAAAGGUAAUUCAAAGCCUUAACUUACAGAAGCUCACAGGCCGAGUACGUACACGUACCUCGGUACUGGAUUAAGUUGGCGUGGCAGAGAUGGUGGGUCCACUUGAGAUCAAAGAUUUUAAACAUAAGCUCGGAUGCAAAGUCUCACAGGCUCAAGCAUUACACAAGUUAGACUGACUAAGUUGGGCAGCUUCGCUAACAAUUCUUGGCGUGGCCCGAGUUGUAAAUUUUUUUUACUGUCGAUGAAUGUAAAUAAUUUUAAUAGGCUAAAAAAAAAUUGGUGAGAUUUCUCUGGAUCAAGUUCGCGGCUAGCCGAGUUUGUAAAAAACUUUUACAACCGAUGUAUAUAAAGAAUUUUAAUAGGUCGAAAAAAUAUUGGUGAG
rnacentral:lncRNA from 1 species